rnacentral:snRNA from 1 species
GUGUUCGCUUCAGCAGCACAUAUACUAAAAUUGGAACGAUACAGAGAAGAUUAGCAUAGCCCCUGUGCAAGGAUGACAUGCAAAUUCGUGAAGUGUUCCAUAUUAAA